rnacentral:rRNA from 1 species
GACGAACGCUGGCGGCGUGCCUAAUACAUGCAAGUCGAGCGGACUUUCAAGAAGCUUGCUUUUUGAAAGUUAGCGGCGGACGGGUGAGUAACACGUGGGCAACCUGCCUGCAAGACGGGGAUAACUCCGGGAAACCGGGGCUAAUACCGGAUAAUAUCUUCCUUCGCAUGAAGGAAGGUUGAAAGGCGGCGCAAGCUGCCGCUUGCAGAUGGGCCCGCGGCGCAUUAGCUAGUUGGUGAGGUAACGGCUCACCAAGGCGACGAUGCGUAGCCGACCUGAGAGGGUGAUCGGCCACACUGGGACUGAGACACGGCCCAGACUACUACGGGAGGCAGCAGUAGGGAAUCUUCCGCAAUGGACGAAAGUCUGACGGAGCAACGCCGCGUGAGCGAAGAAGGUCUUCGGAUCGUAAAGCUCUGUUGUCAGGGAAGAACAAGUACCGUUCGAACAGGGCGGUACCUUGACGGUACCUGACCAGAAAGCCACGGCUAACUACGUG